rnacentral:rRNA from 1 species
GAUGAACGCUGGCGGCGUGCCUAAUACAUGCAAGUCGAACGCUGAAGGAAGGAGCUUGCUCUUUCCGGAUGAGUUGCGAACGGGUGAGUAACGCGUAGGUAACCUGCCUGGUAGCGGGGGAUAACUAUUGGAAACGAUAGCUAAUACCGCAUAACAGUAGAUGUUGCAUGAUAUCUACUUAAAAGGUGCAAUUGCACCACUACCAGAUGGACCUGCGUUGUAUUAGCUAGUUGGUGAGGUAACGGCUCACCAAGGCGACGAUACAUAGCCGACCUGAGAGGGUGAUCGGCCACACUGGGACGGAGACACGGCCCAGACUCCUACGGGAGGCAGCAGUAGGGAAUCUUCGGCAAUGGACGGAAGUCUGACCGAGCAACGCCGCGUGAGUGAAGAAGGUUUUCGAAUCGUAAAGCUCUGUUGUAAGAGAAGAACGAGUGUGAGAGUGGAAAGUUCACACUGUGACGGUAUCUUACCAGAAAGGGACGGCUAACUACGUG